rnacentral:rRNA from 1 species
CAGCAGCCACGGUAAUACGGAGGGAGCUAGCGUUGUUCGGAAUUACUGGGCGUAAAGCGCACGUAGGCGGCUUUGUAAGUCAGAGGUGAAAGCCUGGAGCUCAACUCCAGAACUGCCUUUGAGACUGCAUCGCUCGAAUCCGGGAGAGGUGAGUGGAAUUCCGAGUGUAGAGGUGAAAUUCGUAGAUAUUCGGAAGAACACCAGUGGCGAAGGCGGCUCACUGGACCGGUAUUGACGCUGAGGUGCGAAAGCGUGGGGAGCAAACAGGAUUAGAUACCCCGGUAGUCCCUGUCUCUUAUAC